CGUAGGUAACCUGCCUGGUAGCGGGGGAUAACUAUUGGAAACGAUAGCUAAUACCGCAUAACAGUCGACAUUGCAUGAUGUUGAUUUGAAAGGGGGCAAUUGCUCCACUACCAGAUGGACCUGCGUUGUAUUAGCUAGUUGGUGAGGUAACGGCUCACCAAGGCGACGAUACAUAGCCGACCUGAGAGGGUGAUCGGCCACACUGGGACUGAGACACGGCCCAG
rnacentral:rRNA from 1 species